GAUGAACGCUGGCGGCGUGCCUAAUACAUGCAAGUCGAGCGAACAGACGAGGAGCUUGCUCCGCUGACGUUAGCGGCGGACGGGUGAGUAACACGUGGAUAACCUACCUAUAAGACUGGGAUAACUUCGGGAAACCGGAGCUAAUACCGGAUAAUAUAUUGAACCGCAUGGUUCAAUAGUGAAAGAGGGUUUUGCUGUUGCUUAUAGAUGGAUCCGCGCCGCAUUAGCUAGUUGGUAAGGUAACGGCCUACCAAGGCAACGAUGCGUAGCCGACCUGAGAGGGUGAUCGGCCACACUGGAACUGAGACACGGUCCAGACUCCUACGGGAGGCAGCAGUAGGGAAUCUUCGGCAAUGGGCGAAAGCCUGACGGAGCAACGCCGCGUGAGUGAUGAAGGUCUUCGGAUCGUAAAGCUCUGUUAUUAGGGAAGAACAAAUGUGUAAGUAACUAUGCACGUCUUGACGGUACCUAAUCAGAAAGCCACGGCUAACUACGUG
rnacentral:rRNA from 1 species